rnacentral:lncRNA from 1 species
UGCGUGUGUGUGCGCAUAACGGAAUCUGCGCGUAUCUGCACAGUGUGUGUACAGGGUCUACGUAGUUGUUUUUGCAGACUCUGUGCCUACAUGUUGAAGAAGUGCUCGUUUUAGUAAACCUGGGGAGUAUCAUAUAUGGGCAGGUGGGGCUCGUGCCGAGAGCUUUUCUGUUUAAAUGUGCCCACCACCUGGUUGCGUGCUGACACCUUCUCCAUUCCACAGCAGUGAUAACCGUACUUUUCAACAAGUCUUAGGAGGGCAUUUCUUUGAGGACUGAGGGGGAGGGAAGGUAGAGGGCGCCAUAUCUGGGACCGUAGCUAGGUUGUGGAAGUAUGGGGUGGGGUGAGGGGUGCGUGGUUUUCUCUGUGUGGGUUGGAAUGUUGUUGUGCCCAGAUGCGAGUGUAUUUGUGCACGGGAUGUCGGGGUCCUCCUUCUGCCUGCGCCGGCAUACAUCUGCCUGGCAGUCUGCCGCCUCAGCAAGCAAGGGGAGCUCAGGUUA